UACAGAGGGCUCGAGCGUUAAUCGGAAUUACUGGGCGUAAAGCGCGCGUAGGUGGUUUGUUAAGUUGGAUGUGAAAUCCCCGGGCUCAACCUGGGAACUGCAUCCAAAACUGGCAAGCUAGAGUAUGGUAGAGGGUGGUGGAAUUUCCUGUGUAGCGGUGAAAUGCGUAGAUAUAGGAAGGAACACCAGUGGCGAAGGCGACCACCUGGACUGAUACUGACACUGAGGUGCGAAAGCGUGGGGAGCAAACAGG
rnacentral:rRNA from 1 species